CCCAAGGGAGUGAGGGUGGGGGUGAGAUCCAGCCUGGGUCUAUGUGAUUUCCAGGCUCAUUAUCUUUCUACCACACCUUGUUGCCAGGCAGAUUUAUUAGGUCUGCAAAGCUCAUCAGAAAUGCAUUCACCUGCUCCCUCCACUCCCUCUUUCUCUGGGGCAAACAUGAGAGGUGGGGUGAUAGGGUUGGAAAAGAGUAGACUGAAUCCAGCAUCCAAAUCCGGGUUCAUUCGACCUUGGGCAAGUCACAGCCGCUCGCUGGGCCUCGGUUUCCAUAUCUGUAUCCUGAGAUAGACUUGAAGGCCAGAAAUCUUUCAAGAAAAAGUCUCAUUUGAAAAUCUUUCACAUCUUGUGAGGAUGAAUAAAAGACAGAAUGUCAACUUUGCCGCCUUAAAAUUUCAAAAAGAGGAAACAUUCCAAAAUCGCAUACAGCAUCCAUGAUACAUGAUCCUUGAUCCAGACAUAAAAGAGAAUAUAAAAAUGAAGAAAAGAGACGCUGUUAGAGAAAAAUGGGACUUCCCUCCAAACAUCUUGCUCCUCACCCACAUGGGUGGAAGUGAUCAACCCUCAGUCACUCAAAUGGGCACAGGAAGGGCCUUGGAUUAUCCCUUCAAGCUGGCGGCCCAAGAAAACUGUUUCUGCACCCUAUGUCAGCCCUUAAAACUUUACUAUAGCUCUAAUUCAAAAUUGUAAUAAUAAAAUUUGUAUUUAAAAUUAUGCACAGGCUUUGGCCUCCUCUUCAGCUGAACUUUAACACUUGGCCAUUUGGCAUUCAGCCAUAAUGUACCUGUAACUGUAAUGUACCCCUAAAUAUAAAUUGAAAAUCUUUUCUUCCCCCAACCCCUGGUCUCUUCUCCAGAGAUUACCACUGGUGCUUAAGGGCCUUGUAAUAUUUCUAUAAAAUAUUUGUAUUUGUUCUUGCAACAGUGGGAUCAUCCCAUAUACUCUCCAGUAAUUUGUUAUGUACCAUUACAUUAAAGAUAAUUUAAUUCAAACAUCUUUCCAUGAGACUAUGUGUAGCUCUAUCUUAUGUUUUGUAAUGACUUGCAUAUAUUCUGUUGUAUGGAUGUGGCAUUAUUUAAUGACCCAAUCCUUAAUUAAAGAACAUUUAGUCUAUUAUCAUUUUUUUUGAGAGGGAGUCUCGCUUUGUUGCCCAGGCUGGAGUGCAAUGGCACAGUCUCGGCUCACUGCAACAUCUGCCUCCCGGGUUCAAGCUAUUCUCCUGUCUCAGCCUCUUGAGUAACUGGGAUUAC
rnacentral:lncRNA from 1 species